rnacentral:rRNA from 1 species
GGAAGUAAAAGUCGUAACAAGGUUUCCGUAGGUGAACCUGCGGAAGGAUCAUUACUGAUUUAGCGAACCGAGCGUUAGCGAGGUUUUGCGAUCAACUUGUAUUUAAGACCCACUCUUCAAUGUAUAAAAUUUGUAUUAAUGAUAAAUUAAAAGAUCACUUUCAACAACGGAUCUCUUGGCUCUCGCAUCGAUGAAGAACGUAGCGAAGUGCGAUAAGUAAUGUGAAUUGCAGUAUUCCGUGAAUCAUCGAACCUUUGAACGCAUAUUGCACUUUCUGGUAUUCCGGAAAGUAUGCCUGUUUGAGGGUCAGUUAAAUAAAAAUCGGUGUUGUUGCCGCUUUCCGUGGUGACGCGUCGGAAUUGAGUCGUCUUCGGUUAAGUGACUUAAAAUUUUAUAUGAUUUUCGAACGUAUUUAAAUUUAUUUGAACGUUUGAUAUCGAAUGCUUAUUAGGUUCGGUCAUCCUCAUGACUCGCGCCUAUAAUUUUUCAUUAAAUGACCUCAAAUCAGGUAAGAAUACCCGCUGAACUUAAGCAUAUCAAUAAGCGGAGGA